GAAACCCUCACCUUUGCAGCCCAAGGUAAGUGAAAACACUUAUGGUUUAGCUUAAUUAUGUCAUGAAAGAUUAGGAAAACAUGCUAUUGGUGCCUAAUUAUAAAUACAUGGCAGAAUAUAGAACAAGCUACUUGCUCAUUUUUUCUUUGUUACUAAGAGAUCUCUUUUCUUCUUUGGUUUAAAGUGUGAAGGAAAGUGAAAGUUGAAGUUUUGAGGAGU
rnacentral:lncRNA from 1 species